rnacentral:lncRNA from 1 species
AGGGCUAAAAAAAAUAAAACGAAAAACAAAAGAGAAUACUGUAGUCAGAGAUGAGGAGAAUAUGGCCACUUUUCAUCUGUUGAAAUGGGAAAAGUUAACAAUAGAUUGGGAAGGCCAAGAAGUUUGGAAGCUCGGAGCCUCGGAAUGAACUCCGUGGUUGUAGAAAACACAAGAUCCUAGAGAUCUGAGCUUUCCGCGAUAUAGUUUUUUGUCUCUCAGCUUAGCACCCAGCGCUGGAAUAAUAUAAGACUCAUGAUGACAUCCCAACCUUCCUUAAAGUUCUCGGAAGUGAGAAUAUAAAAUUAUACAAAAAAAUGCUCGCACAGUCAAAAGCCUUGACUACGAUCUUUGAUUCCCAACCUAUGUUGGGAAACGGAAAUAAAGACUCAGCAAGUCGCAAAGACACAUGACCCUGAUUAUUUCUACCAUCAGACGGAGGAACGCAAGAACAUCACAUCCCAGCCUUUACAAAUUUAGGCUCUUUAUAUAACAAAGCUUGAGAAAUGGGGUUAACUCCAAAGUGGAGAUAAAGAUUAAACGCAGUCACGCAACAUGGUGUAACACAGCAAACCUUUGAGAUGGUGUACUGGUCUUUUGGUACGAGAGAAGAGAGCUUGAAGCAUAGGCUCUUCAUGUACAGUCUCCUGUUCUUCUCCACUGUCUUCCUCUCCAGUUUGGUUGCCCCACCACAAGUCUUCAUCUCUCUCUCUCUCUCUCUCUAGCUAGCGACAGCUACUUGAAGGAAGAAGGGAAGAAGGGAAGAAGGGAAGAAAGGAGAGGCCACCGGUGAGCUUUCCAAGGGUCAGAAAGGCUUUACACCGCCCGAAAGAACUCAAGGAGCAGAGAACGGUGGGAAGU